GAUGAACGCUGGCGGUCUGCUUAACACAUGCAAGUCGAACGAACUCUUCGGAGUGAGUGGCGGACGGGUGAGUAACGCGUGAGAAUCUGCCUGUAGGGUCGGGGACAACCACUGGAAACGGUGGCUAAUACCGGAUGAGCCGAAAGGUAAAGUUUAUGCCCACAGAUGAGCUCGCGUCUGAUUAGCUAGUUGGAAGUAAAGCGUACCAAGGCACGAUCAGUAGCUGGUCCGAGAGGAUGAGCAGCCAC
rnacentral:rRNA from 1 species